GAACGCACAUUGCACCCGGUGGUAUUCCGCCGGGUAUGCCUGUCUGAGCGUCAUUUCUACCCUCGAGCACUGCUCGGUGUUGGCGGAUUGCCUAGCAACCGCUGAAAAUCAACGGCGGUGACCCCUAUGUCCCUGUAUAGUACUAUUCUUACAGUGGUUAUAGCGGUCUACCAGUCUCCUGUGCGCCGUAACAAGCGCUACACUUUGAAACUCGACCUCAGAUCAGGUAGGAAUACCCGCUGAACUUAAG
rnacentral:misc_RNA from 1 species